GACGAACGCUGGCGGCGUGCUUAACACAUGCAAGUCGAACGGAAAGGCCCUGCUUUUGUGGGGUGCUCGAGUGGCGAAGGGGUGAGUGACACGUGAGUAACCUGCCCCUGUCUUUGGGAGAAAUUUACGAAACUGGGGCUAAUAUCGGAUAGGAGCUUUUGAUGCAUGGUGGGCGUUGGUAAGAGUCGGUGGUUGGGGAUGGUAUCGCGGCUUAUCCGCUUGUUGGUGGGGUAGGGGCUUACCAAGCCUUUGACGGGUAGCCGGCCUGAGAGGGGGACCGGCCACAUUGGGACUAAGAGACGGCCCAGACGCCUACGGGAGGCAGCAGUGGGGAGUAUUGCACAAUGGGCGGAAGCCUGAGGCAGCAACGCCGCGUGCGGGAUGACGGCCUUCGGGUGGUAAACCGCUUUCGCCUGUGACGAAGCGAGAGUGACGGUAAUGGGUAAAGAAGCACCGGCUAACUACGUG
rnacentral:rRNA from 1 species